rnacentral:rRNA from 1 species
GUCUACGGCCGCGCCACCCCGAACAAGCCCCAUGUCUGAUCUCGGAAGCUAAGCAGGGUUGGGCCUGGUGAGUCCUUGGAUGGGAGACCACCUAGGAAAGACCAGGUGCUGUAGGCG